AACGAACGCUGGCGGCAGGCCUAACACAUGCAAGUCGAACGGGACCUUCGGGUCUAGUGGCGGACGGGUGAGUAACGCGUGGGAACGUGCCCUUUGGUUCGGAAUAGCCCUGGGAAACUGGGAGUAAUACCGGAUACGGUCGAGAGACGAAAGAUUUAUCGCCGAAGGAUCGGCCCGCGUUGGAUUAGGUAGUUGGUGGGGUAAUGGCCUACCAAGCCGACGAUCCAUAGCUGGUUUGAGAGGAUGAUCAGCCACACUGGGACUGAGACACGGCCCAGACUCCUACGGGAGGCAGCAGUGGGGAAGCUUAGACAAUGGGGGAAACCCUGAUCUAGCCAUGCCGCGUGAGCGAUGAAGGCCUUAGGGUUGUAAAGCUCUUUCAGUGGGGAAGAUAAUGACGGUACCCACAGAAGAAGCCCCGGCUAACUCCGUGCCAGCCGCCGCGGUAA
rnacentral:rRNA from 1 species